rnacentral:rRNA from 1 species
CCCAGUAGCCAUAUCACCCUGCGGCUCUCACCUGGUUUCCAACUGAAGCUAAGCAGGGUUGAGCCUGGCCAGUACCUGGUUGGGAUACCUCCUGGGGAAAACAAAGGUUGCUGCUGGUA